GAGCUCGCUUUGGCAGCACAUAUACUAAAAUUAGAACGAUACAGAGAAGAUUAGCAUGGCCCCUGCACAAGGAUGACAUGCAAAACAAUCCUUAAAUUCUGAUAUUU